AUUGAACGCUAGCGGGAUGCCUUACACAUGCAAGUCGACCGAGUGGCGAACGGGUGAGUAAUGUAUCGGAACGUGCCCAGUCGCGGGGGAUAACUACGCGAAACGUAGCUAAUACCGCAUACUAUUGGAGCGGCCGCUAUGGGAUUAGCUAGUUGGUGGGGUAACGGCGCACCCAGGCGACGAUCCGUAGCUGGUUGGAGAGGACGACCAGCCACACUGGGACUGAGACACGGCCCAGACUCCGACGGGAGGCAGCAGUGGGGAAGUUUGGGCAAUGGGGGAAACCCUGAGCCAGCCAUCCCGCGUGUGUGAUGAAGGCCUUCGGGGUGUAAAGCACUGUUGGCAGGAAAGCGGUACCUGCAGAAUAAGCACCGGCUAACUACGUGCCAGCAGCCGCGGUAAUUC
rnacentral:rRNA from 1 species